ACGGAGCGCCUGGACUGUCCUGAGACAGUUGACGAGGACCGGACUUAUCGAAAUAUUCGGCGGAUGGUCCGGAGGCCGGGUACGGCCUGAACAAUGGGUAAAAACAGUUCGCGAGAGCUGAACAGAGC
rnacentral:ncRNA from 1 species